rnacentral:lncRNA from 1 species
AAAGAGGCUACCCACACCACUUUGUCUAACACAAUGUCUAGCACACAGAAAGUGUUCAGUAAAUAUUUUCAACUUAAUGGGUAGAAUUUCAGGGAAGCCUCAGUGUAAUCAAGAGCAAUCAUAACAUGAACAACUAUGACAUCAGACAGUGGUGGCCACAGGAGAAACCACAAUGAAGUCUCUUGCCCGUGGUUCCCCCACCCUCCCUCUGCGUCCUAGCAACCCUGAUGCUUCCUCAUGUGGCCCUCUGAUGACAGGGAGUGCCUUGCAGAUCAACAAGUGGAAACCAAAAGCAAGGCUGAAGCCAGUGGAAAGAUGAAGGCAGGGACUGGUUAUUCCCUCUCCUGACACAUGGCCUGAAGGAGCCUUCCAAAAUACAGACACAACCUGGGAAAGGCAGAAAACAUCCUGCGUUGAUUGAGAAAUCCCUAAAAUCAAUGAGAUAAUCCUGAACUGAUCACGAAUAAACUGACAUGAAUGUAAAUUGGCUGAGAUUGAGUUUUUACCACCCACUAGAAUGCAGGCCUGAAACAGAAACUAGUAAAAGUAAAGAACAAUUAUAUUUCCUGUACCUGUGAACUUGUAGACUGCAAUAUGGAUACAU